rnacentral:tmRNA from 2 species
GGGGCUGAUUCUGGAUUCGACGGGAUUUGCGAAACCCAAGGUGCAUGCCGAGGGGCGGUUGGCCUCGUAAAAAGCCGCAAAAAAUAGUCGCAAACGACGAAAACUACGCUUUAGCAGCUUAAUAACCUGCUUAGAGCCCUCUCUCCCUAGCCUCUGCUCUUAGGACGGGGAUCAAGAGAGGUCAAACCCAAAAGAGAUCGCGUGGAAGCCCUGCCUGGGGUUGAAGCGUUAAAACUUAAUCAGGCUAGUUUGUUAGUGGCGUGUCCGUCCGCAGCUGGCAAGCGAAUGUAAAGACUGACUAAGCAUGUAGUACCGAGGAUGUAGGAAUUUCGGACGCGGGUUCAACUCCCGCCAGCUCCACCA